rnacentral:rRNA from 1 species
GAGGAAUGUAUAGCAAUAGCUACUUGCAUCAUUGUACAGAUGAUGCAAGAUCGACUAUGUUGAAUAAAAUUCUAGGUAGAAUUAUGAUAAUGACAUUGUCUGCCUAUGUGUCUUGACCAAAUUACGUGCCAGCAGUCGCGGUAAUACGUAGAAGACUAGUGUUAUUCAUGUUUAAUCGGUUUAAAGGGUACCUAGACGGUAGAUCAAGCUUUUACAUAUAAAUUAUGAUAAUUAAAGGACUAAUUUACUAGAGUUACUUACGAGGGGGCAUUAAAGUACUGCUGGUGUAGAGAUGAAAUUCUGUCAUACCUCUUUUCGAAAGAAAAAUCAUGGCACAGGUAUAGGCGAAGGCAUCCCCUUAUGUGAUAACUGACGUUGAGGGACGAAGGCUUUGUGUAACAAACAGGAUUAGAUACCCUAGUAGUUGAAGCAGAAAAUGAUGAAUGUCAUAGAUUAGAUAUAUAAGUUUAUUCUAUAAAUGAAAGUGUAAGCAUUCCACCUCAUGAGUAAUUUGGCAACAUUGGAACUGAAAUCAUUAGACCGUUUCUGAAACCAG